rnacentral:rRNA from 1 species
AGAGCGAACGCUGGCGGCAGGCCUAACACAUGCAAGUCGAACGGAUCCUUCGGGAUUAGUGGCGGACGGGUGAGUAACACGUGGGAACGUGCCUUUUGGUUCGGAACAACUCAGGGAAACUUGAGCUAAUACCGGAUGUGCCCUUCGGGGGAAAGAUUUAUCGCCAUUAGAGCGGCCCGCGUCUGAUUAGCUAGUUGGUGAGGUAAAGGCUCACCAAGGCUACGAUCAGUAGCUGGUCUGAGAGGAUGAUCAGCCACAUUGGGACUGAGACACGGCCCAAACUCCUACGGGAGGCAGCAGUGGGGAAUCUUGCGCAAUGGGCGAAAGCCUGACGCAGCCAUGCCGCGUGAAUGAUGAAGGUCUUAGGAUUGUAAAAUUCUUUCAGCAGGGACGAUAAUGACGGUACCUGCAGAAGAACGCCCGGCUAACUCGCGCCAGCAGCCGC